AAGCCAACAGUCAUCACGAUUUAGUUUACUUUAUUUGAGAAAAAAUGAAUUUCUCCGCCAUUUUUGUUAUUGUAAUGACCGUAUUUUCAUUACUUUUUGGGUACAGUGAUGCUGCUCCGAGAGUUAACGUAAAAACUAUUAAAAAAGGAGGCAAAAUUAUUCAGAAGGGUCUCGAAGUGAUAGAUGCAGCAGGGACUGUUCACACUAUCUACAGUGAUAUUCGAGAUAGACGAAAGGGAUAGACUGAAACAAAAAAGUUAUAUUUUUUUAUUUGUAUGGCAAAUGAUUUAUUGAUAUGCAACGAAUGAGUAUUAAUAAAAAUAAUAUAUGAAUAUACAAUUUUUUCUUCCACCUAUUUUAUUUAAUUAAGUCAAGAGGUCUGUAUUAUUGAAGAGCUUUUUAAAGCGAAACAAAUUAGCAAGUUUCAAUAGCCUCAUAAAAUAUUAAGAGCACAUAAAUAACUCUAUAGCUCAUGUUUUACUUAUAAAUUACGUUUUACGUAUUAAAAGUUGAAAGUUUUAAUUUUUACACCACAGACAACUGCCUAGGGGAGAGCGGG